AGGGGCAUAGCUCAGUGGUAGAGCGCACGCCUAGCGGGCACGAGGUCCUGGAUUCAAACCCCAGUACCUCCA
rnacentral:tRNA from 1 species